AACAGAAUAUUUUUCGUAGUCACCUCCAUACAUAUCUAUUUCUUUAAAGAUUAUCUGAAUACUGGUAUUUCUUUAAAGAAUACACCAAGAUAUACUGCAUAAUCUCACUGAUAUGUGGAAUCUAAAAAAGUUGAACUCAUAGACGUAGAGAUUAGAAUGGUGGCUGCCAGGAAUUG